rnacentral:lncRNA from 1 species
UUUUUACUAAUUUCCAUAGAAUACUCCAUGUCUCAGUCAGGAUUUCCAUUGCUGUGAAGAGACACCGUGACCACAGCAACUCUUAUGAAGGAAAAGAUUUCAUGUGGACUGGCCUGCAGACCAGAGAUUUAGUCUACUGUUGUCAUGGCAGGAAACCUAGCAGUGUGCAUGGUGCUGGAGAGGAGCUAAGAGUUCUACAUCCCGAUCAGAAGGCAGCAGGAAGGGAACUUUGAGCCACUAGACCUGAGCUUCUGAGACUUCAAAGCCUACCCCUUGGUGACAUGCUUCCCUCAACAAGCCACACCCACUCCAGUACCUAAUAGUGCCACUCCCUGUGGAUCUGUGGGGGCCGUUUUCAUUCAAACUUCCACACCCCAUAUAUUUCUUGGGUUGCGUGUCUACUUUGUCACACAACAGAUAUAGCGUUCUGGCAAGCUGUAGCAUGUGCCACCAUUUUCUCUCAGAACCACUCAAAUAGGUGACAACACCCUCUUACACAAGCCUCUGCCACCUGGAAGAGAGUUCAUCCCGCUGCAAGAGAAGGAGGACUGAGAUUGAAGGGGUGUUUACUAAUUAUUUAUUUAUUUUUACUAAUUAUCAUUUACUAAUUCUGAUUUCUAACUAAGGGUUAGUGUUUAAGGUAUAAGGUGCUGGGGUGGCUAGUUUUAAUUGUUAACUUGACACCAUAUAGAGUCACCUGGGAAGAGCUUUGAUUGAUUACCUAGAUAAAGUUGGCCCACAGGCCUGCUAUUAUUUUGAUUGUGUUAAUCGAGGUGGGAAGACCUGCCCACUGUGGGUGGUAACAUUCCCUAGGAAGGGGGAUCAUGAACUGUAUGAAAGGGGAGAAAACGAAUUGGUCCUAAGCACGCAUGAUUUACUCCAGUGUGCUCUGCUCUUGACUGUGAAUGUAAUGUUCAUUCAAGGUCCUGCUGCUGUGACUUCCCUUCUAUGCCUUACUGUACCAUGGAAUUGUGAGCUAAAAUAAAGCCUUUCUUUCUUAAAUUACUUUUGCCAGGGUAUUUUAUCACAGCAAAAUAAAAGAAGACCAAUACACAUGUGUUAAUUCACUUGACUUUGUUAUAUCACACUAAUUUUUAUGAAUCCUUACACUACUUU